CUUAAAAUCUUGUUGCCAGAAACACAAAUUUAUCUAAUUUUGUUUGUCUUUUCAUCUUAAAUUAGGCCACAGUGUCUUGUUAUGACAGGUGCUCCAAACUCACGUCCAGCUUUACUUCAUCUUGUUCAUGAUUUCACAAAAAAUGUUGGUUUGAUGAUCUGUGGCCAUGUACAUAUGGGUCCUCGAAGACAAGCCAUGAAAGAGAUGUCCAUCGAUCAAGCCAAAUAUCAGCGAUGGCUUAUUAAGAACAAAAUGAAGGCAUUUUAUGCUCCAGUACAUGCAGAUGACUUGAGAGAAGGUGCACAGUAUUUGAUGCAGGCUGCUGGUCUUGGUCGUAUGAAGCCAAACACACUUGUCCUUGGAUUUAAGAAAGAUUGGUUGCAAGCAGAUAUGAGGGAUGUGGAUAUGUAUAUAAACUUAUUUCAGUAAGUAUCUUUUUAAUUCAAUAAUCUAGUUCAUUUAGAAAAUGUUAAUUUUGAAAGCUUGUCCUAUUUUUUGGAGACUGUUUCUCAUAUAGUCUCUUCUAAUGGAAAUAUAAGAACGAAAAGAAUCACACAAAGCAUCUGGGUUUUAAAUUGAUAAUCUAUUAACAAUUUUUUAUUGAUCUUUAUAUGUCUCUUUACAUACAUGCAUAUAUAUAUAUAUAUAUACACACACACACACACACAUAUAUGUAUGUAUAUAUAUAUAUGUAUACACUCUGGCUUCUCAUUUAAGUUUGUAAACUUUUUCCUAUCCCUCCAGCUGUUGCUGAGCAGAGUUCCCGAAUGUCAGACCCAUCACCUCCUAAACUAUGUCAUUAUAAUGUGCUGAGGAAGGGUGUUUUAUCGCUGUUUAGGCUUGUUCCCCUUCCAAACAAAUUUUGCAGUUAAUCAUUUGGUUCAUUCAUUAAGUUAUUUACAUUUCUUUUAUUUAAAUGUACUUGUAUGUUUUGUUUUUCUACCACCAUGAAGAGUUAAGUUUGAGUUCACUGUAACUUCGUUUUUUGCGUUGUCUAGUGCAGCAGUCCCCAACCUUUUUGGCACCAGGGACCAGUUUCAUGGAAGACAAUUUUUCCACAGACAUGGGUAGUCGUGGGGUCUGUGGUUUCAGGAUGAUUCAAGCGCAUUACAUUUAUUGUGGACUUUAUAUUAUUAUUACAUAUUCACCGUAAUGUAGACUCAGUGGGAGUCCUGAGCUUGUUUUUCUCCAACUAGGCAGUCCCGUCUGGGGGUGGUGGGAGACAAUUGACGAUCAUCAGGCAUUAAAUUCUCAUAAGGAGCGCACAACCUAGAUUCCUCACAUGCGCAGUUCAUAAUAAAGUUUGCACUCCUUUGAGCAAUUGGUGCCGCUGCUGAUCUGACGAGGUGUACUUCAGGUGGUAAUGCUCACCUGCCCAUGGCUCACCUUCUGCUGUGCAGCCCACCCAGUUCCUAACAAGCCUGGCUCAUUACUGGUCCAUGACCCAGGUAUUGGGGACCCUUGGUCUAGUGCGUUCUUUUUUAUUCUUUGCUACUUUGUCUUUCUGGUUGUAUUCUGUUUGUGGAUUUUGUGGAUGUUUAAUGUAAUCUACCACAUACUUUUUGUUUAAUAACAAUAAAACCUUUUUUUUUGUUUUUGCCAGAUUUUCUUCUUAAUCUUGAAAAGUACUUCUUUUCCUACUAUUCUAAGAUUUGCCUAACCUAUUUAUCUUGUUUAUACUGAAGAUAAGCAUUCCCUCUCCACUAUGCCAUACUUGAUUUGAGGAGUAGUUUUUUUCUCAUCCUAAGCACUGAUGAAAUAGAACUGUCUGCUUCCUCUUAUAAUUGUCCUUUAAAAAAAAUAACUUUUAUUUACAAAGUAGCUUUAAGAUUAAAGUUUAAGUCCUAUUUUCUCCAUGAAUUUUGAUCUGAUCACCCUUUUUUCUCACUGGAGUUACUUCCUUACUGGAACUCCUGUUGUAUCUUUGGCUAUAACCACAUAUAUUUGCCUGUCUCACAUAUGAUGGUUUUAUUAGUGACAUUUGAAAAGUCUUUGAGGAAGCAGCUGGAUCUCAUACUCUACUUUUUAAAGGAUCUCUUUAUAUGGAUUAGUAAUAUAUAUGAUAAACAAGAUUUACCAACUAAUCGUUAAAUGCUUUUAGUAAAAUUAAAACUGCUGAUGUGUUGUAUGUUGUCACUACUGUUGAGUUUUGGUUUUAUUAAUGUUUUUGUAAGCAAAACCUCAUUGUGGCUUUCUAAUUUUGUAUUAUGUAUAUAUAGGGAUUAGGGACAGAAAGAUUAAUGUGGUCCAUGAGCCAUGAAACCCAUGAGCCAUGGGCUAUGUUUUUUCCCUCUCAAGACCUAAGAGCAGUGAGAUGACGUAAUUAUCCUAAAAAAUAGAAAAAGUGACAUUUUUUACAAAUUAUUUCAUACACCUGUCACAUUAUUAGUUGUAGUUGCUCAUAAUGGAACACUGGAAGGGGUCUUUCUGACUCUGACUUUCUAGGGAUUAAACUGAGUGAGUGUUCUGAAAGUUGAGUAUUAGUCUUAACAUUAUUCCUGUACAUUAGGCAGCAGUUAAAGAAUAGGUAAAAUACUGCUUUCUGGUUUUAGAACCAUGUAAAUUAAUAGCAGUUUCACAGCAGUGACACUGCUUAUUCUUUAUCUUGUUGCACUUCCACUGAUGUUUUAGCUGUGAUUUUUAAAUACCUUGUGCAAUUUAAGUAUGCUUUAUAUAUUGUGUUUUUAUUAAUAGUAUAUAAGAUCUGAAGCUGCAAAUCAAUUUUUAUAGCUUAUAACAAAAACAUUUAUUUGUUUUAAUCCACAGUAAACUUGAGGAGCUAUAUUCCCUGGCUUUAAAGAAAUUGGUUUUGAUUUAGUCGAUUUAUUAACCAAUUUUAAAAUGCUUAUAGUUAUUUUUUCUCUAGUAUUAAUUAGAUCUUUAAAGAUACAGCUGAGAAAGAUUAACAUGCCUAUUAAAUUUAUUUCUCCAGUGACUUUGUUAACUUUAGCUCAUCAUUAGGAAUGUGGCCAAAUUGUCUCUCCAUGAUUUAAAAACAACAAAAGACCUUUUAUAACCAUAUAUUAUAUCCUGAACACAUUCUUCCAUUUGUCAGUAAGAGUAAUAAUUUGACUGUUUUAUUGGAUUUUAGCCUUUUUGAUUUCAUACAGCUGUAUCUUAAUAUAUCAGUUUUUAAUAUGUCUACAUUGAAUACUUAUUACUUGUGCAAUGAAAAAUAAUAAUUAAAGAUGAAAGUUAAGCCUGUUACCACUUUCAGAGAACAACAUGACGUUUUGGAAUUUAAAAUUUUUUCAGUAGAUUUGAGAAAAACUUGGGUUAAAAUGAAGAUUUAUGCUCAGAACUGAGAUUCCAGGGUUUAAGUCUGGUUUUAAAGCUGUCUUCAAGAUUUUAAUGUAUUUUCUGUGUGUAUAGGAUGCUCUCAUUUCUGUUUUUAAAAAUGAAAGGGAUCAUGCCUAUAAUCCCAGCAUUUUGGGAGGACAAGGCAGGUGGGUCACGAGGUCAGGAGUUCAAGACCAGCCUGGCCAAUGUGGUGAAACCCUGUCUCUACUAAAAAUACAAAAAUUAGCCAGGCGUGCUGGUGUGUGUCUGUACUCCCAGCUACUCGGGAGGCUGAGGCAGGAUUGCUUGAAACCGGGAGGCAGAGGUUGUAGUGAGCCAAGAUUGUGCCACUGCACUCCAGCCUGGGCAACAGAGCGAGACUCUGUCUC
rnacentral:sRNA from 1 species